rnacentral:rRNA from 1 species
CGGGAGGCAGCAGUUAGGAAUCUUCCGCAAUGGGCGCAAGCCUGACGGAGCGACGCCGCUUGGAGGAUGAAGCCCUUCGGGGUGUAAACUCCUGAACUGGGGGCGAAAUCCCUGAUGAGGGGGCUGACGGUACCCAGGUAAUAACGCCGGCCAACUCCGUGCCAGCAGCCGCGGUAAUACGGAGGGCGCGAGCGUUACCCGGAUUUACUGGGCGUAAAGGGCGUGUAGGCGGUUUGGCGCGUCUGGCGUUAAAGACCGCGGCUCAACCGUGGGGGUGCGCUGGAUACGGCCAAGCUAGACGGCUGGAGGGGGUGGUGGAAUUCCCGGAGUAGCGGUGAAAUGCGCAGAUACCGGGAGGAACGCCGAUAGCGGAGGCAGCCACCUGGCCAGUUUGUGACGCUGAGGCGCGAGAGCGUGGGGAGCAAACCGGAUUAGAUACCCGGGUAGUCCACACCCUAAAC